rnacentral:rRNA from 1 species
AAACGUUCCGUAGGUGAACCUGCGGAAGGAUCAUUA